ensembl:lncRNA
AUGACAGCGAAGGGGGAGAGUAGAGCAGGCGGAAUAAACUCAUCUGUCAUACUCUCCUCUGUGCCGUGUGCUCGUGUCUGGAAAGUGCAGUGCUGGUCGGAUUGUGGGCGGUUUCAAGAACGAGAGCCGGUUUUCAGUACGGAAAAGUGGUCAAUUUCAUCAUCAAUGGCGCAACAAAGGCAUUUCCUACAGGUCUCCUCUCUACUGGCUUUGACAUCCAGCCAGACUUUCUCAGAAAACGGCUUCUCCUUUCUCAUCAGUGUUCUGGUCGCCUAUUGGUGUAGAUCACAUCAGACAAUACAGGCAAGGUUUCCAGAGUUCAAUGAACUCUCGUUUAGCAGCUGCAGAGUGGCUCGCUGUACACCUCUCUCUCUUUCUCUUUCUCCCCAGGCUCAUUCAGCAUGUUCUUUGCGUCUUGCUUGGGGUUGUUAUUCAUUGUGGAAGAGAUUAUCCCAUCUUUUCCUCCCUCCCUCCUGUCAGCUUGGGUGCUCCAGUCAUUCCUUCAAAGUCCCACUCUUCUGCUGACCCACUUCCACCCCUAAUGAGAGCAUGUGAUUGAGUCAUCUUAAUUACAUUACUGUCAGCCCAGAACUAUAGGCAAAAGUGAUUAAAGUAUAUUAUGAUUGGAAUAUUAAACACUGAAUUAUUAAACACUUCAUGAGUUUUGACGCAGUUGGUAACCAAUAUAUAUAUAUAUUAGGGGUGGGACGGUCAGUCAGUAUUAUAUCAAUUACUGGCUGAUAUUAGAAUUUUUAAAAGGUUUAUAUUAGAUAUUUGUAAUCAGUGCUAAUUUCGUUGACUAAAAAUUUUAUCAUAAUUUUUGUCCACGACAAUUUUUCUACAACGAAAAUGAGACGAUAAUGAAAUAAAAACUCGGUUUUAAUGACAAAAACUUCGACUUAAAUUAAUUGACAUUUUCGUCAACGUCCUAUCCUAAUUUAAUUUAUUUUAAUUACUAAAUUACUUAAUUACUUAAGCAUCCUAAUUUAAUUACUGUUGUAUGUGUCAUUAAUGUUAAUCAAGCAACAAAAGAAAGAGAGAAAAUCACUCACUGCUCUUGACUGAAUGACUUUAGUAACUCUUAUAAGGAUUAAUCAAAAUGUAUUCAUAUAAAUAAAUAUGAAAGAAUGAAGAAUGUGGUAAGUUGUUAUAAAAAAAUGCAUAUUAAAUAACUGUUGGUAUUUCAUUGAAAGGGGGACCAUGUUCUUGUUUCUUUAUGAGAAGUGGUUUUAAUUAAUUUUAGUAUAAAGGCAUGUUGUGUGAGAGUUAAAUCUGUUUCUGUAUUGGAUGAUAAAACCUUAAUAUCAAACCUGUAUAAUGAGUUUGUAAAUUUUAGAGAAAUGCUUAAUAAAUGCAUUACACUGUAACAAACCCAUUAGAAUUUAGUCGACUAAAACUAAUAUAAUUCAGAUGACUAAAAUAUAACUAUAACUAAAUGGCAUUUUAGUCAAAAGACUUUGACUAAGACUAAAUCAGAAUUUGCUGUCAAAAUUAACACUUUUUAAAAGCGUUUGUAGAUCAGGAAGGAGGAGUCGGGAACCGGCCAACAUUUAAACAUGAAACUUUAAUAAACAAAUGAACGAACACAAAAUGAAAGUAAAAGCGGCAGCCCCUCACGGAUGACUGCCGCAUAAAACAACACCAUAUAAUCCCAGUCUGGUCCUCUAUCAUCCUACACUGUCAUUACUCCUCCUUUUAUCCUUCUGGAGCUCUUCUGUGGGACUUGAGACCGGUGAGUGGCGCUGGUGUCGCUCAUUAUCAUUUACUCCACUGGCCUCGCUCCGCUCCCACGGCUCCCGGGGCCCUGUCCCAAUCGUCACAGUAUUUAACUGUGCAUGUUAAUUUCUGCAAUUUCUUUACAUUUAGAUUACUUGCUGUCAAGCACUCAUAAUAGGGCUGUCAAAAAAAAAAAAUCAAAUUUCAAAUAUUUGUUGAAUUAAAAAAAAAUCCACAUUCGAAUGCAAAAACGAAGAUGUUGUUUACGUCAAAACGGUCCUUUGUAUUAAACUAUACAUACAUGCAUGGUGCUGUUUUUUUUCUUUCUAUUUGUUUAAGCAACUUUAUUAAUUAUAGUUUAUAAACAUUAUUUUAAACAUUAUGCACUUUUUUCAAAGAUAGUCGUGUUAUUUUAUUAUGCUUUAAAGAAACGUGCAUAAUAUUUUGCUCGAUGCUCCCUUUUGUGGCCUCAGGAGAGAAGUCAAAAGCUUUUUCCCCCUAACUGAAAUUAUGCCUUUUAAAUUCGAAUAUAAUUCGAAUUUUGAUAAUAUUUAAAGGAGCAUUGCGUAGGUUCUGAAAUUUCUAACCGUUACUGACACCAGUGGCCGUUAGAGGAACUGCAGCCAGUCUCAUGCUCAUUCUCAGUGCGCACGCUCUCUCUUUUUGCCACACUAGAUACGUUUUUUUUUUUUUUUUUUUUUACUUACGAGGAGUGUCCGUGGGUGUCUGAAUUGUGCUGCCGGAGGCUGGUCGCUUCUUUCCAUCCACAGAGUCCAUCUGAAAACACUAUUGCCGCUGCUUACUAUAAUGGCUGGCGUGCCGUACGGUUGUAAGCCCAAGUAGACGAGAACGCGCAUGACGUCACAUUUUGUGAAUUUUCGCGCCAAUUCGGGCCCGACUCCUCCACACACAAUUGAGCCUACAGGCUGAUAGAGGCAACCGUGGUGGACAGUCGAGGUGUCAUUCUUUUUUUUACAUCAUGGUUGGCUCAUACAUGUACAAAUGAAAACUCUAUCUUAAAGAUUUUUUUAAGUAAAAACCUCCACAUAGCUCCUUUAAGUAGAAAAAUUGAAUUUAGUUUUUCAGUCAUUUUGACAGCCCUAACUCAUAAUUUAUUAAAUUUAAAUGUUUUUUGAAUCCAACAAAUUUCAAAAUGAAUAUUUAUUUGCCUAUUUUUUUUUUUUAUUAAUUGUUUUUAUUUUAAUAUCAGCCAAUUAGUAAUGAUCAGCCAUACAUUAAAUUGAUUAAAAUAAUAAUCAGCCACAAUUUAUGCUGGUAGUGUGGGCUCCUUUUAUUUAUAUGAAACCCCGUUUCCACCACAGAACGAAAAAAAGUAACUGCAACUUUUUCUUAUAAUUCAGCCUUUUUCUCACAAUUCUUAUGUUUUUCUUGCAACAUUGCAAGUGAACAUCAUUCACCAAUAAUCAAUAAAAAAAACAAAUCCUUAAUCCCUUUCUCUACCCAUGACGCACAAAAGAUUGUAGAAAAACAUCAAGAAGACAGCCUCAGUGCAUUCUACCAAUGGACUAAACGGUCCCACUGGGGCUUCUGUAAUGCCCUUGUGAGCUGCUGAUGGGGUGUUUUGAAGCAAUGCAGUCACAGAGGAAAUAAGAAAAACCCAUAAUAAUAGAGACAACAGUAAACUCUGUUUGACCACAGAGAAAAUAAAAGUCAGAGCCUUUAAAAUUUGUCUAAUUUUUCUUCAACUUCCUCCUUCUCACCUUGUGUUUAUAUGCCACAACCAAAUGUUAGUUAGAAAGAUAAACAUAUGUAAGUUUCAGAUAGCUUUCUCAUCCAUUUGUUGGAAGUGAGAUUCUCCUGAUGCACUGAACAUGUGCAGAUCUCUCAUGUGGUUUUCAAAGGGUACAUUCUGCACCCUUAAUAACUGGCACAAGCUUUUUUCCACAGCUCGUCUUCCAAAAAUGUAUCGCUCUGCAGGAGCACAGGCACCGUUUAGGUUUGCUGUGACUACCACCCUUCCAGUUUACCUUUGAACUGGACAGCUGCAAUAUAUUGUAUGCUUCAUCAGCCCCUCUAUGUAUUUCAGCGUGUUUUUUGCAGACGGGAGGCCGUAGCCCUUUAACAUGACACCGGAGAGUAGACGCUCUCAUCCAUGGGUCAGCAAAUCAGCAGAUAAAAACAAGAUUAUGUAGCUGCAGGUCACUCAGGAUAUAGAUCAGGUUAGUUCAGCUGACGGUGUCUUGUGUGCUUUGAGCUGUUGUCAAGCCUGUCAGUUUUCUUAAUCCCAGGGUGGUGAAGAUCAGGAAAGUAGACUGAGCCGUGAUGCACUAAACUGCAAUCAAGCUCUGCUUGUUUCGUUGCCGUUCUUCAUGAAAGUUUUGUCAGAAUGAUCAGCUCAACUGAAACCAACACAGCAGGUUUGGCGAACCUUAUUUGUUUGCUGUGAUUGGUUGGAACGCAUCAUCUGACAUUCCUGUUAUUCAGUGCCGUGUUGAAGAGAAGGCACAGCGGUUUCACAUUCUGUGGAAUAUUUGGCCAGCUGCAGGGAUUUAUUGUGAAAAGCUCUUAUUCUCAG